rnacentral:rRNA from 1 species
AUGAACGCUGGCGGCGUGCCUAAUACAUGCAAGUCGAGCGAACAGACGAGGAGCUUGCUCCUCUGACGUUAGCGGCGGACGGGUGAGUAACACGUGGAUAACCUACCUAUAAGACUGGGAUAACUUCGGGAAACCGGAGCUAAUACCGGAUAAUAUAUUGAACCGCAUGGUUCAAUAGUGAAAGACGGUUUUGCUGUCACUUAUAGAUGGAUCCGCGCCGCAUUAGCUAGUUGGUAAGGUAACGGCUUACCAAGGCGACGAUGCGUAGCCGACCUGAGAGGGUGAUCGGCCACACUGGAACUGAGACACGAUCCAGACUCCUACGGGAGGCAGCAGUAGGGAAUCUUCCGCAAUGGGCGAAAGCCUGACGGAGCAACGCCGCGUGAGUGAUGAAGGUCUUCGGAUCGUAAAACUCUGUUAUUAGGGAAGAACAAAUGUGUAAGUAACUAUGCACGUCUUGACGGUACCUAAUCAGAAAGCCACGGCUAACUACGUG